rnacentral:lncRNA from 1 species
ACACGGACGCUUGUCACGGUGGAACGUCGCGGUCGAGGACUCGUUAGAAAUGACCAUGUUCUACGGUGAUUCGCGACACCAAGGCGUGUAUUCGUUGUCCUAUUCUGAUCGGCUAAUCUGUGGUUGCGUGAAGUCGGACAAUACUCCACCAUAAUUUUGCGCAAGGUGUCGUUAACUUCACUGCUUCGAGUCACCAUUGUGUCGGAGCUUUCCCGCCAAGCUGACCAGCGAAAACGUUUUGUGGAUUUUGCUAUCAGGUAGCAAACAGAAGUGCCCAGACGAACUGUGCAGUGCUGAACACACGGUGAGCCAAGCAUCCCGUGAGAGGGGCUUAUUCAGCAUAUGUGGCUAACUCAAAGGAAGGACCUCCAAAAAGCAGUGCUACAAGGAUGUGAGCCACAAGCUCUUUUCAACGAACGGAUCAGAUUCUUAAAAGUUAUGGGCCGACUGCAUCUGGCCUACACAGAGAGUGCAGCCACCACAGUAAAGUUCUUGCAAAGCUAUGCUGCCAUGUGAACAACCCCAAUACGAAGUGGAUUCGAUCUUUAGGGCAGCAGAUGCACUUUUGAAGAAGGCGAAAAUGCUAGAGCCCAAAGUUACCUUGAAUAAUUAUUCACAUUCAGAACCCAAUAAUUAUUGUUACAUCAAGUGAACAAAGUGGUAAUUCUAGAUUGUUUACACAUUUCAAAUAGGAGAGGUGAGCUGCUUAUUGGGUUGGUAUUCAUGCUAAAAAAGAGGGGCAUGCAAACAUGGACUCGAGAGAGCAGUCGAGACGCCGCGAACACCAACUAGAAAAGUUUACAUUAAGCUAAAAAUUAAACAAGGCAAGUGGAGAUCAAGACGUCAUGCCUGUUGGUCUAUGUGAGAGAUAACUGGUCAGCAUUUGAUUUCUUCGUUGAGUUAUUCGAUAGUUGGUUCACACAUGCACUAACACAUGUCGCUAUGCCAAGCCUCAACCAUUAGAUGCAGCCAUUAGAUACAAAUGCAUUUCUUCAUUUCUGUGCUUGUACAAAACUGCAUGGAUGCAGUCUUUUUCUGGGAUAUUCUCCAAAUGUCUUUGAAAAAGGAUGUGCCUCUUGAUGCUUAAGACAUCAUAUUUCUACCAGUAUCAAAUGAACAAGGAAUACCUUUCGACUUAGUCAUGUUACUGGGUCUGUACGGUAUAAGGCAAUCUAGAAUGGCAGUGCUCCAUGCUGAUGUUAAUGCACGUCCGGUUUGGCAACACUUCUUUCAAUCUGUCUGUUCACACGUGAAAUCAAAAAAGCUUCAACAAGAGGUGCCCGAAUGGCUUCAUCAAGUAGAAAGCCUUCUACAGAUAAAGAAAUUU